rnacentral:lncRNA from 1 species
AGCACAGUUAGUUUCAUUCCCUUCUGAGGCAAACACUAAUGUACAACUCCCAGCUCUCACUCAGCCUUUCCUGUAUGGGAGGUAAAGUUCUCCAUAUUUGAAACUAUGGCUACUGUGAUAAGUAGGCAGCAAAUGGUGUGUGUAUGAAGAGAGAGAGUCAUGCUUAGCCUGCCUUUUUUUUCCUGGGCAUGGUACUACAUUUGCAAAAACAGCUGAGAUUAGAAGUGAACUUCGCUGUGAUUCCCAGCUCUGUGAACAGUGAGUUUUUGAGGAAUCUUGGGAGACUCGUUUGCUAAUCAGUGCUGAAAUUUGGUCUCCUUCUGUGUCCCCUCUACCCACAACUCUUCAGAUGGUCAUAAGUUUGUCCUGGUGAACAGAUGAAAACAGAAUUCCACCAGGGUGUGGGAUGGGCGAUGGUAGACUUGGAGGCACUCUGAGCUCACUGGAUCAGGUAAACAGAAGUAGGAAGAAUGUUCUCUGAUGAUGGCUGAGCAAGGCACUGAUCUACAUCAAACCCAACACUGUUGCCGAGGUCAAAAGGUGCUUGCUAACAGGAACCUGGUGUGACUUUCCUUGGGAGGUCCGGCUAGCCACUGUCCAAUGCCGAUGUGGAUGCUUGGAGCCAACCAUCACACUGAGUUCAGGAAAUCUGUUGGAGGAGCUGACAGAGGAGUGGAUGAAGAUUGCAACCCCAUUGGAAGAACAACAUAGGCUGGCCUGAACACACAGUUCUCCCAGAGACUAUACCAUCAACCAAGGAGUAUACCUGGAGGGAUCCAUGGCUCCAGACACAUAUGUAGCAGAAAAUGGCUUUGCCGGACAGUAAUGGAAGGGGAGGCCCUUGGUUCUGGGGAGGUUUGAUGCCCCAGCAUAAGGGGAUGCUGGAACAGUUGAGGGAAGGGGAGAAGCACCCUCAUAGAGGCAAAGGGGAUGGGGGAGGGGUAACAGGGAUGUGAGAUAUCAUUUGAGAUGUAAACAAAUGGAAUGAUUAAUUUUAAAAAAUGAAAUAAUUUCAAUCUUUCUGCCCUUUCAUGCCAUAAUGAAAUAAAAUCACCCUACUUGUGUAUUCAAGGCUUGUA